rnacentral:rRNA from 1 species
GAUGAACGCUAGCUACAGGCUUAACACAUGCAAGUCGAGGGGAAACGACAUCGAAAGCUUGCUUUUGAUGGGCGUCGACCGGCGCACGGGUGAGUAACGCGUAUCCAACCUGCCCACCACUUGGGGAUAACCUUGCGAAAGUAAGACUAAUACCCAAUGACGUCUCUAGAAGACAUCUGAAAGAGAUUAAAGAUUUAUCGGUGAUGGAUGGGGAUGCGUCUGAUUAGCUUGUUGGCGGGGUAACGGCCCACCAAGGCGACGAUCAGUAGGGGUUCUGAGAGGAAGGUCCCCCACAUUGGAACUGAGACACGGUCCAAACUCCUACGGGAGGCAGCAGUGAGGAAUAUUGGUCAAUGGGCGAGAGCCUGAACCAGCCAAGUAGCGUGCAGGAUGACGGCCCUAUGGGUUGUAAACUGCUUUUAUAAGGGAAUAAAGUGAGUCUCGUGAGACUUUUUGCAUGUGCCUUAUGAAUAAGGACCGGCUAAUUCUGUGCCAGCCGCCGCUGUAA